AGAGGGCUGGAGCAGCUCUGCUAGGAGGAAAGGCUGGGAGAGUUGGGAUUGUUCAGCCUGGAGAGGAGAAGGAUCCAAGGGGACCUCAGAGCCCUUUCCAGGGCCUAAAGGGGCUCCAAGAAAGCUGGAGAGGGACUUUGCAUAAGGACCUGGAGUGCCAGGACAAGGGGGAAUGGCUUCCCACUGCCAGAGGGCAGGGUUAGAUGGGAUAUUGGGAUGAAAUUGUUCCCUGUGAGGGUGGGGAGGCCCUGGCACAGGUUGCCCAGAGAAGCUGUGGCUGCCCCUGGAUCCCUGGAAGUGCCCAAGGGCAUUUUGGACGGGGCUUGGAGCAACCUGGGCUGGUGGAAAGUGUGGAAUGAGAUGGUCUUUAAGGUCCCUUCCAACCAUGACUCCAGGAUAACUUUCACUUUGCCAUUCUCCUAGAAACUUUCCUCACGAGACAAACACACAGGUUGGGGCUACAAGCGACCUUCUUGCUGUCCAGUGAAGAGGUGUUGCAGGGAGGACUUUCACUGCAGCUCCUGUCCACGGAGACCUGUGUGGAAACCAGCCUGAGUGAAAGCCAGCACAGGACAGAGUCUCUCCAGAACAGGGGAAGAGUUUUCCAGUCUCAAAGAUCUAAAGGUUUUUGGCCAGAGUUCAAGAUGGGAUCCUGGGUUCAGGGAGUUUGCUCCAGUACAGGCAUUUUCAUGUUCUCCUGCCACAGGAAAUCAGAGACAUUCCCUUGUGAAGAUGGAUGUGAUGAGGAAGGUCUGCCAUUAAAAAGCUCCAACGCUCCCUGCACAGACAUGUUUCUAAAGGUGUAAAGAGUUGCUCACCAGGCUGGAGGGAUCACAGGAAAUCCUGCAGUGGGGAUCCUGCUGCAGUGGGUGCCUCAGCCUGCCUGGGCUGGAGCUGUAGGAGGAAAUGCACAGUGUCAUCUUGGUGUAGAUGGAUUUUAGGCAGUGCCACCUGAGGCUGCCCUGCUGAGACAAAUUCUGCUUCCAGAGGUGCAGGUUGAGCCUCAGGGGGUGUUGUAUGGAUGCACCUCCUGAAGUGGAGAGGUGUGCUGACAGCAAAGCAGGAGCAUCCAGGUUUCCUCCAAGGGACUUGUACCUUGCCAGCAGUGAGCGUGAGGCUUGAGGCUGGAUGGAACAAACCUGCUGCCUCUCCUGCUCCUGCCUCUCCAGGUGACUCCAGGGCACAGCUCUGGGUCACAGCAUGCUCUUCAUGCCAUCUUCCUGGCCAGCUCCAUCCUGAACUCUCCAGGGCUGUGCUCAUCUCCACCACAGGUUGCUUCUCUCAGCAUUGGAGACAUCUCUUGGUGGGAAGAGAGGAGGAAGAGCAACUCUUACAAGGAAUCAUGGAUUUCUCCAGGAGCCCUUGCAGGAUCACUGGGGACAGCCUCCCUAGCCCCUGUGUUUUCCACUGAGGGGAGUCUUGGCUUGUUUUUCUCCACUUUUCAACUACACAUCCACCUUUGUUUGCUCCAUGAAGCCUCCUUGGCCAAACAAAUAUCUUUAUUAAUACUUGUCAGCAAAAAUAUAAACAGAUACUGAGUUACA